rnacentral:rRNA from 1 species
CCUACGGGGGGCAGCAGUGGGGAAUAUUGGACAAUGGGGGCAACCCUGAUCCAGCCAUGCCGCGUGUGUGAAGAAGGCCCUCGGGUUGUAAAGCACUUUCAGUGAGGAAGAACGCCUGGUGGUUAAUACCCAUCAGGAAAGACAUCACUCACAGAAGAAGCACCGGCUAACUCCGUGCCAGCAGCCGCGGUAAUACGGAGGGUGCGAGCGUUAAUCGGAAUUACUGGGCGUAAAGCGCGCGUAGGUGGCUUGAUAAGCCGGUUGUGAAAGCCCCGGGCUCAACCUGGGAACGGCAUCCGGAACUGUCAACCUAGAGUGCAGGAGAGGAAGGUAGAAUUCCCGGUGUAGCGGUGAAAUGCGUAGAGAUCGGGAGGAAUACCAGUGGCGAAGGCGGCCUUCUGGACUGACACUGACACUGAGGUGCGAAAGCGUGGGUAGCAAACAGGAUUAGAUACCCCAGUAGUC